UACGGAAGGCAGCAGUGGGGAAUAUUGCACAAUGGGCGAAAGCCUGAUGCAGCUAUGCCGCGUGUAUGAAGAAGGCCUUAGGGUUGUAAAGUACUUUCAUCGGGGAGGAAAAAACAAACUAAUAAUUUUAUUUCUUGACGUUACCCGAAAAAGAAGCACCGGCUAACUCCGUGCCAGCAGCCGCGGUAAUACGGAGGGUGCUAGCGUUAAUCAGAAUUACUGGGCGUAAAGAGCACGUAGGUGGUUUUUUUAAGUUCAGAUGUGAAUCCCUGGGCUUAACCUGGAACUGCAUUUUGAAACUGAAAUACUAGAGUAUCGUAGAGGGAGGUAGAAUUCUAGGUGUAGCGGUGAAAUGCGUAGAUAUCUGGAGGAAUACCUGUGGCGAAAGCGGCCUCCUAAACGAAUACUGACACUGAGGUGCGAAAGCGUGGGGAGCAAACAGGGAUUAGAUACC
rnacentral:rRNA from 1 species